rnacentral:rRNA from 1 species
CGGUCGCUUUUCUACUGAGACCAGAGGGGGCUCUUUAAAGGUCUACAAAGCGGAUAGGAGGUAUUGGGUCUAGUUCCCGUGCGGUAGUAGUAAAGUAUGCUGAGAGGACGCGUUGCUCUAGCUCCAUACCGAAGGGCUAGGGAGUGCUAAGUGUAGGCACGAGAGGAUCAACAUCCAGGCCAUAGAUUGGACGUUGAGAGCGCGCCCCCUAAUUAAACAAUCAUGGAGUCUAAAGAGAACAAAAACAAGAACUAACUAACAAGUAAACUCUGCGUUGACUAUACGUAUAUACGCGUACCUUUACUCUGACUCCUUUUAUAUACUUCCCUGCCACACUAUUCCUUAAAAUCCUUCCCCACACGAUCAAGUACCAAAACAACUACGGAGGUUCUAAAACAACAAGCAGCGGUCGAACCGGGCAAAGAACAACGAUAGACUUAAAGACACGUUCCAAUUAACAAGAAAGACGUACUGGGAAAGACAUAUUAACUGGCAUAUGGUUUGUAUAGUGAACAACGUACGAAUGAGGGUACUUAGACAAGAAACUCAUCUCUAACGUCCGUCGCUCGCGUGCUUAAGGUACUCCCCCUCACGCUCCAGAGAUCACCUUUGACGUUGGUCUGUUUAGUUUGGACCGUUACCUGAACGCUCCAACUACUGCUAAUGAUGAGGGUUCUUCGUACUCUUCCUCUAGUCGGGAUGACUUAGACGGGAGGGUUUCCUACUUUUACAGCUCGGGGAGCAGCGUAAGUCGGCAGGCGGAGGAAACGGUGGCCAAGAUCCGGGGAACUAGCGCGAGAGCGAAAAAGUCUGAAGAAGAUCACUACUUCUGUCGUUUACUCAGCGGUCCCCCGAACGAACAAACUAGCGACUCAACCAAUGAAAAGCCUCGGACCAGCACAUAUAUCAGUCUCCAACAUCUGUAGUACAACGACAUCAUCAGACCGUUCAUGAUGCUUUAGACUUAUUACAUCAUCAGAAAACACACUGUUAAAAAGUCUGACUUGUUUAAAGCUUCAGACAGCGAC